rnacentral:rRNA from 1 species
UACAGAGGUCUCAAGCGUUGUUCGGAUUCAUUGGGCGUAAAGGGCGCGUAGGCGGCGGGGUAAGUCUGGUGUGAAAUCUCGGAGCUCAACUCCGAAAUUGCACUGGAUACUGCUCUGCUUGAGGGUUGGAGAGGAGAUCGGAAUUCACGGUGUAGCAGUGAAAUGCGUAGAGAUCAUGAGGAAGACCAGUGGCGAAGGCGGGUCUCUGGACAGUUCCUGACACUGAGACACGAAGGCCAGGGGAGCAAACGGG